AACGUAGGAGACGAAUGUUAUCCGGAGUUACUGGGCGUAAAGGGCGUGCAGGCGGCUUGAUAAGUUCGGCGUGAAAUUUCCCGGCUUAACCGGGGGAUGUCGUCGGAGACUGUCGAGCUAGAGGGUGAUAGAGGCGUGUGGAAUUCCGGGUGUAGUGGUGAAAUGCGUAGAGAUCCGGAGGAACACCAGUGGCGAAGGCGACACGCUGGGUCAUACCUGACGCUAAAACGCGACAGCAUGGGGAGCGAACGGG
rnacentral:rRNA from 1 species